rnacentral:misc_RNA from 1 species
AAUCAGCUAUCAGGCAGACUUCCUCCUAGCAUGGCUGAUUUAAAUUUUUUGAGUACCUUGAACUUGUCCUAUAAUAAUUUGUCAGGGAGAAUUCCAUUAAGCACCCAACUUCAGAGCUUCAAAGCUUCUUCAUUUUCUAAUAAUCCAGCACUUUGUGGGUUACCUCUUCCACAGAAGUGCCCAGGAGACAAUAUUCAAGAAUCACAAAGCAACAUGAUGGCCAAUACAAU